GAUGAACGCUAGCGGCAGGCUUAACACAUGCAAGUCGAGGGGUAACAGGGAAGAGCUUGCUUUUCUGCUGACGACCGGCGCACGGGUGCGUAACGCGUAUAGAACCUACCUUUUACAGGGGAAUAGCCCAGAGAAAUUUGGAUUAAUGCCCCAUAGUAUUAUUGAAUGGCAUCAUUUAAUAAUUAAACAUUUAUGGGUAAAAGAUGGCUAUGCGUUCUAUUAGCUAGAUGGUAAGGUAACGGCUUACCAUGGCAACGAUAGAUAGGGGUCCUGAGAGGGAGAUCCCCCACACUGGUACUGAGACACGGACCAGACUCCUACGGGAGGCAGCAGUGAGGAAUAUUGGACAAUGGAGGCAACUCUGAUCCAGCCAUGCCGCGUGCAGGAAGACGGUCCUAUGGAUUGUAAACUGCUUUUAUAUAGGAAGAAACCUUUCCACGUGUGGAAAGCUGACGGUACUAUAAGAAUAAGCACCGGCUAACUCCGUGCCAGCAGCCGCGGUAAUACGGAGGGUGCAAGCGUUAUCCGGAAUCAUUGGGUUUAAAGGGUCCGUAGGCGGACUAAUAAGUCAGGGGUGAAAUCCAACAGCUUAACUGUUGAACUGCCUUUGAUACUGUUAGUCUUGAGUUAUAUGGAAGUAGAUAGAAUAUGUAGUGUAGCGGUGAAAUGCUUAGAGAUUACAUAGAAUACCGAUUGCGAAG
rnacentral:rRNA from 1 species